GACAGAGGGUGCAAACGUUGUUCGGAAUUACUGGGCGUAAAGCGCGUGUAGGCGGCUAAGUAAGUCGGGCGUGAAAUCCCACGGCUCAACCGUGGAAGUGCACUCGAAACUGCAUAGCUAGAGUCCUGGAGAGGAAGGUGGAAUGCUUGGUGUAGAGGUGAAAUUCGUAGAUAUCAAGCGGAACACCGGUGGCGAAGGCGGCAUCCUGGACCGAGAUUGACGCUGAUGCGCGAAAGCCAGGGGAGCAAACGGG
rnacentral:rRNA from 1 species